GUCAGCAGACACAUCCAGCCAAUCAACAGCAGACCCUCCCUCCCAAACCCUCCCACCUCCUGGACAGCAUCCAUUUUACAUUCAUUGUGAAGCUGCAUUCUUAGUGAGCUGUCCAGGAGGUGGGAGGGUCUGGGAGGGAGGGUCUGCUGCUGAUUGGUUGGAAUGUGUCUGCUG
rnacentral:miRNA from 1 species